GGACCCAGCGCUGUCCAGAGGCCUAGAGGAGACGGACAAAGGGGCAUCAACCACAGCUUUCCGGGAAAGAUGCCCGAGGCCUGCCUUUGACCUGGAUUUCGGAAAAGAUCAAAGCCUGAGCCGAAGAGAAAGCAUGACAGGCAAAACUCUGAGGGAGAAAAAAACACAGUAAAAACCAGCCUGCAAAUGGAACCCUUUCAUGUUGCCCGUGAUCUGCAGCUCAGAAGGGAUGCAGCCUCUGAAGAAACCCAAAACACCUAGUCAGUAAGUGACCUAAAGUGAGUUUCCAGAGCAAGGGACUCAGAGGCAGAAAUCGCAUCCUGCUGCGCAGCUAAGAAAAUGCCGCGUGCGCAAUGGCUGUCCCCAACAUAAUUACAUAAAAUGAAAGCCACAAAGGGAAGAAUCGACAAGGGGAGGGGACUGAGUCUGCGGAGCCCCAAGGUUAAAUGCUGGGACAAGAAGAGAUGUAAACAAGAGAAAUCUUUCAACACAACAAUUUGAGACGUAAUGGUCCACAGAGGCGCACUCUGCAGGUGUACGGCAAGUACUUGGCUGCAUUAUUCCAUCCCGCGGUCCCAUUUUCUCUUGUCAAGAGGCCUUUGACUGGGGACACAAUUGUCUUCCAAAGAAAGGCUGAAAUGCCAUGUGAAUAACUUGAGUGAUAGACUGUAGCAUCUUGGAUGCUCAAGAAAAAGCAAUGUUAAUGGAUUUGUACACUAAUAACAUAAAAAGGGAGGAAGGGGAAGGCCCCACCAGGCCACUGCAAAAGCACAUCCAAGAGCCUUCUUCUGAGGUGCUGCUGGGCAACGAAGGCUUUGGUAAAAACAUUCCUCCCCUCGGUGAGGACAAAGGAUGCCUGGGUUCCUGAGGGGCCAGGCCUGACGCUGCUCUCUGCCUCCCCCAGUGUUCAGCCUGGACUAAGCCUUCCUUCUCAUAUUCUCAAAGCAUUAGCAGGUAUUUCCCCACAAAUCUGGGGCGUGUAGCUCCCUGUCCAGCCUCCCCAAAACAGUAUCUCUGAGCCAGGCCCAAGGCAGCCUUCCUCUCUCAGGAAUACCUGAUAACAAAGCAUCCCGGGAGCCCUGACUGGUGUGAAUUGAGCACUGGCUUGUGAACCGAAGGGUCACUGGUUCGAUUUCCGGUCAGGGCGCAUGCCUGGGUUGCAGGCUAGGUCCCGGCAGGAAUGUGGGAAGCAACCACGCAUUGAUGUUUCUCUCUCCCUCUUUCUCCC